GGAGAGAUGUCCGAGUGGUUUAUGGAGCUGGUCUUGAAAACCAGUGAUGCUGAGAGGCACCGGGGGUUCGAAUCCCUCUCUCUCCGCCA
rnacentral:tRNA from 2 species